rnacentral:lncRNA from 1 species
UGGAUUUCGGUAGUGACAUGUUUUCCUGCCAAUAAUAAUAGUUAUCGCGAGCUGCAUUUUUUCGGUGGUUCAUGAGGCGGUCCGGCGGAUGUAGUCCGUCACCGAAAAAUAUGAAGUGUGGUGUUAUAUUGUCAUGGUUUAGUGAGGUUCAUGUUUUGUGAUGAUGUAUGGUGUACAAUGAAGAGAUAAUACAUAGUAUGAUUAUGUAGCAGGUAGAGUGAGUAAGGUGUGUUCAUUGCAUGAAAUGUAUGGCAUGUUGGUGAAGAAGCUUGGUGAAAGUAUGGUUGAAAAGGGUGGUUUUAAUGGUGAAGAAGAAAAGGAAAGUGGAGAGAAAAUGAGGUUGUUAGAAGUAUGAGCAGUAUGAAGAAAAUGAUGGUUUGGUGAAGUGAAAACGCAUGAACAGUGUAUGGUGAGAGAAUUAUGUCCAUGCCUCUAGCAACUUCUUCCUCUUUUGAUUUUUUUUUUAAAAUUCAGAAAAAG